UUUUCGGCUCAUUAACGUACAAAAUUUGCACCUUUAAAAUGAUACGUCUUUCAUUAACUUACAAUUUUUUCUUCACGUACUUAUUCAACGUCAAAGCCAGAGGACUCGAAUUUUCUCGCGGAUAGUAGUCAGUUUCAAUCCAACAAAAGCCAUCGAGUGAAUCCAAAAACAGGACAACGCAAAAGCUUCCACACGCAAGCUACAACUCAACAAAGAAAGACUUAAUUAUUACGAAUAAUUUUCAGUGAAAAUUCCAGACAACCGUAUUGGUCUUUCAAGGAGAAAUGCUACAUUUCAGAUCAAAUUCAAAAUUCAAUACUAAAAGAAGCCGUCAGUAUAUGUUUCCUAAAAGCAGACCAGUUUUUGAUGGGCAUCGUCUUAUAAUUCCUAAGCCGGAUGGGACAAAUCGAUUAAUUCUCAAUCUUAAACAAUUUACCACUUCAUCAAUACUGACAAUUUUAAGCUCUAAGAUUAUAGAGUAGCCUAUUAGUUAGUAAAUCUAAAUUGUUUUAUGGGUAAAUUAGAUCUAAAGACGCUUAUUAUAUUGUUCACAUUAAGAAAAAUUAUCAGAAAUAUCUGAGGUUUUCUAUUGAUGGAAUUCUCUUUGAACUGGACUGCCAGCUAUUUGGCCUCAACACCGCUCCCUAUGUCUUUACAAAAAAAUAUGAAGCCAGUUGUGUAGGCCAGGGGCUAGAGCAAAAAAGUGUAAUUUUUGACAUUAAUUCCGACUAAAUUAAUUAUGGUUUUAAACUGUUCUUUGGGUCAAUAUAAGGAACCAUUUUCGUUACCCCUCCCCCCACCUCUGCGUAUUUUUUUGCAGUGGCGUAAACUUUCAAAAAACGUUUUUUAUUUAUAAUUCGUUUUUGUACACAUUAACAACUUAUUCUCUUUUUUUAAAUAAAUAAUUUUAUUAUUGGCAUAAAUGUUUUCAUUGUAUACGGUUUUCACAAUGGCGAGCUUAUAUAUGUAAAUAUAUGAGACUACUUACUCGACAAAUUUCAGGAAUAGCUUAGUCCCUUAAUCGUUGAAAUGUUGAGAAGCAUCUGUUCUAUUGGGUGAAAGUGUAUGUUAGUGCGUAAAUAAUUAAACCGCCCGGGGCAUGUACGAGGAAGAGGAGGGCGUCUUCACCAGUCUUCUCGUCCAUGUGAUUCUACAGACAAGGCAAGGUAAUAUUAGUUAAACUCUUGCAAAAAAAGAGACGCUACAAAGAGCAAUGCAAGUACCUCAUUAAAUCUGUACCGAAGACUGCUUGCCAUCUGGCAUCUAUUCCACCAACUGAAGCAGCAGCGAGACAACAUUCGCUUCAAACCUACCAUCAGGAGAGAGAGGGAGAUAGAGAGGGGGGGGGGUCAAGCGAUGAUGAUGAUGAUGGUGACAGUGAGCAGGAGAGUUGAGGUGACCUGAUAUAGGCCGAACUUCUGCCAUCAAGCUCAGGUGUGAGCGCAUUUGAGCGCAGACAAAUGCAGGAUGAGCCUUCCUCCGAUGAUGAUAACAAAAAGGAGAGCAGAUGUAACCCACUGGAGGUCAAACCUCAGCAAUCAACCUCAGGUGUGAGAAAAUAUAAGCAUGGCGAAAUGCAGGAUGAGCCACUUAUAAAUUAAUCAGUCGGCUUAAAAUUUUGUUUGCCACGCACUUGUCCUUGCAGUCAACACCUGCUAAAAAUGGUGAGCCCUGUUCUAUGCCAAUGUUAUUUAUCGUUUCGGAUUACAAUGAUCCUAAUUCAAUUUUUCAACAGGCUUGUGGCAUUCUUGAUUUUUUACAUUCCAACGACCAAGCUAUUCCUAGAAAUUUUCGAGUAAGCUUUCUUGAAUACUUACACACAUAGGGUCGCAAUUGUGAAAAUAUAAUGAAAAGAUUUAUACCAAUAAUAAAAUUAUUUAUAAAAAAUAAAAAAUGCACUGAAAGUAAUAGUUUGAGGCUAAUGGCAAGCCGAGCUCGCUUGAGAAUUUUUAACUGAAUUACAAGCAAAAUUGUGUUGUCUCAGCCAUACGAAUUUGAGACUUAAACUAUCAACUAUCAACUAUCUAUUCCUGUGUAGGAAUCCAAUCAGGGAUCCGGCCUGGUCCCAGCCGUAUAGCCCCGCUUUAAGCCGGGCGCUGGUCAGGGAAUCCGGCCGGGAUCCGGCUAAAAACGUCACGCUAAACU